AGAGUUUGAUCAUGGCUCAGGAUGAACGCUAGCGGGAGGCUUAACACAUGCAAGUCGAGCGGGAUUCACCUUCGGGUGAUGAGAGCGGCGCACGGGUGCGUAACGCGUAUGCACCUGCCUUGUGCAGGGGGAUAGCCCAUGGAAACGUGGAUUAAUACCCCAUACAAUAUAUGAAUCGCAUGGUUUAUAUAUUAAAACUUCGGUGGCAUAAGAUGGGCAUGCGUAGGAUUAGUUAGUUGGUGAGGUAACGGCUCACCAAGGCGACGAUCCUUAGGGGUUCUGAGAGGAUUACCCCCCACACUGGUACUGAGACACGGACCAGACUCCUACGGGAGGCAGCAGUGAGGAAUAUUGGUCAAUGGCCGGAAGGCUGAACCAGCCAUCCCGCGUGCAGGAUGACGGCCCUAUGGGUUGUAAACUGCUUUUCUACUGGAAGAAACCUGAUUACGAGUAAUCAGUUGCCGGUACAGUAGGAAUAAGCAUCGGCUACUCCGUGCCAGCAGCCGCGGUAAUACGGAGGAUGCAAGCGUUAUCCGGAUUCAUUGGGUUUAAAGGGUGCGCAGGCGGUCUGAUAAGUCAGCGGUGAAAUGCUGCCGCUUAACGGUAGAAUUGCCAUUGAUACUGUUGGACUUGAGUAUGGAUGAGGUAGGCGGAAUGUGUUGUGUAGCGGUGAAAUGCAUAGAUAUGACACAGAACGCCGAUUGCGGAGGCAGCUUACUAAUCCAUCACUGACGCUGAGGCACGAAAGCGUGGGGAGCGAACAGGAUUAGAUACCCUAGUAGUCC
rnacentral:rRNA from 1 species